rnacentral:rRNA from 1 species
AGAGUUUGAUCCUGGCUCAGGACGAACGCUGGCGGCGUGCCUAAUACAUGCAAGUCGAGCGAAUGGAUGGGAGCUUGCUCCCUGAUAUUAGCGGCGGACGGGUGAGUAACACGUGGGCAACCUGCCCUGCAGAUGGGGAUAACUCCGGGAAACCGGGGCUAAUACCGAAUAAUCGGUUCUUCCGCAUGGAAGAACUCUGAAAGACGGUUUCGGCUGUCACUGCAGGAUGGGCCCGCGGCGCAUUAGCUAGUUGGUGGGGUAAUGGCCUACCAAGGCGACGAUGCGUAGCCGACCUGAGAGGGUGAUCGGCCACACUGGGACUGAGACACGGCCCAGACUCCUACGGGAGGCAGCAGUAGGGAAUCUUCCGCAAUGGACGAAAGUCUGACGGAGCAACGCCGCGUGAGUGAUGAAGGUCUUCGGAUCGUAAAACUCUGUUAUCAGGGAAGAACAAGUAUCGGAGUAACUGCCGGUACCUUGACGGUACCUAACCAGAAAGCCACGGCUAACUACGUGCCAGCAGCCGCGGUAAUA